AAUAUUUUUUAGGACGAAAUUUAUAUAUGCUCAUAAUUGGUUGAGCGUUUCUACCAGCUACCGUAAUAGCUGUCUAUAAAUUUCCCUUUUAUACCA
rnacentral:ncRNA from 2 species